GCACGCACACACACACACACACACACACACACACACACACCGCAGCUCUACUCCCCCUCCUACUAUAGUUCUCAAGCACUCCAGUUGUCUCUAGCAGUAAACGCAUGCAUAGAAGAGCUCGGCUAGUCGACUGCUUCAGUAGAUACUUUAAAAAAAAUCUUCAACGCAACGAUGCUGAUCUGGGAUGUGCACGUAGAUCGUACAGCGUCGGAGGAACCGCGGUGACUGGGCGAUCCAGUGGCUCCCUUCCCAGCACGUUCUCUGUGAGGGGGGAGCAAAAGGAAAAUGUUUCACAGGGGAGCGGUUUGGUGGUUGGAAGUGGGGGAAGGGAGGCAAUUUCACCGUGUUAAAUUCCACCGGAAAAAGCUCGGAUACUCGACAUAUCAAUGUAAAUUGGGACAUAGGGAUUAUUUAAUAAGAUCCUCCAACAAUUUCACAAGGAAAGUGGAGAAAACAGUAGGUAAGAAAUCCUGCAGCACUCUGGGAGGCUAUGUAACAGCUGGAGGCGAAAAAACGCGUGACACAGUCUUUUUUCUUUCUUUUUUUCUGGCAAUGCCUCAUCGCGCGGGGCGCGAUUUUCAAACCAUCUUUUGCAUAAAUCCAAUAUUUAUAGGCUACCGUGCAUUGUUUUUACAGGUUAGCGUGGAUUUAAGACACAAAGGUUUCAGCGAAAAUAAUAGGGGCGUGUUCUCUCUUAAAGGAUACUGUUCGUUUUUAAAUAGAAAAGAAACACUUUCAUACUAUUAAUGUGACUUAUACAAUCCAAACAAAGAGGUAUUUUUACUAGACGUUACUCAAAAACAAUAUACAAAGAUAUAUAUAUAUAUAUAUAUAUAUAUAUAGAGAGAGAGAGAGAGAGAGAAGAUAAAAGGCAGGCACAAAAGAAACGGUAUUUUCUAUCAUUUUAAUCGGUGCCUGUCUUGCAUGCAAUUAACCGGAUUUUUCAGGAACGCCUGUAUAAUUUUCUUGUAGCCAAUUGAAACAAACACACACUGACUGAAUACAGAACCUAGACUACGUCACCUGUAAAAUCUACCAAAUAAAAUAGUUAUAUUUAUUAUCAAUUUUAUACCUCAGUGUCAUGCAGAGCUUCUGUGCUUACGACAACAAACCAUUGCUUAUCCUAUGUCAAAGGUGAGAAUGUAUUUCAUGAAAGGUAAAGGAAUUUCGCUUUUUGCAGCUAGGUCUAGUUCUGUCCAAGUGAAUAAAAGUAUUUUGCCGAAAUGAUGAAAUAUUAAUGCAUAAAUAAUAAACAUUUCUAUUCUAUUUUUCAUGUUCACUGUCUCAGAGGGGUUCAUUUACUUUGCAUGCUAUUGGAAGUUAUUUAUUGAUCUGUUCAUUUUAUCUUUUUACUUGUAACGUGAACGUUUUAAAAUCCGCGAUUUUCAAUAGACAUUGUUUUUCUGGUCAGGAGUCAGCAUAUCGGCAAAGUUUUUUCCUCUAUACAAAUGUUUUCUGUGCAGUCCUUCAGUCCGCCUUUUAAGUUAAAAAUUAAUUAAUUAAUUUAUUUAUUGGGGGGGGAGUGAGUUUGCCUGGUUUUAAACUGUUCUCUUUCCUAUAUUGCUUGCAAUAAUUUCUUACACUAUUACCUCGUUUUAAAAAACCUGGAUCUUUGGUUUGUGGUCAGAAAAAAGUUGUAGCUAUCUGAGGCAAAUGCACAGACAGAGACCAACAUAUUCUUAUUUAGGCCUACCUAUUACAUUGAAAACUCUAGCAGCCAAUCACAAUCACUGCGUAUGUACAUUUUGACGUUAGGAACAAAUGCUGUUUACCCCUUUUCCCGAACACUGUGGACUUCAAUUUAUGAAUGUAGGUUUUUAUUUUAUUUUUUUUGUACAGCCGAUGUGCUCUGGGCGUAUCCUAUUAAAUGCAUUUGUCUGAAAUGUAAAUGAUGAAAAAAAAGAAAACUUUUCUAAAUUUGUUGCUACAACCAAAAGGAACAUUCUGGAAAUUUGUAGAUAAUUUCGUUUAUAUUAAGUCUAUUUAUUUGACCUUUUGUUAUUAAAAGCAAGUACAAACACUCAUGGCGUAAAGACGGUCUGCUGGAGGUCUAGACCUGUAAUGAGCUUCACGGAGAAAAGCUGUAUUUCCAUCGACCUAAAACAUUUUCAUAUCUAGGCCUAGGUGAAGGUUUUAGACGAUUUAGUUUCCCUGGCGUUAACGACAGUAGGCUACACUCCUAACUUCAAACAAAGUAGGCCUACCAAUCGAUUAGAGGCCUAUAUAUAUGCCUGCCGCCUGCAUAUGUGUAAGGUCUACAUACAACAAAACCACACAUUAUAUUUCUUGAAUUGUCAUUUAAUUCUGGAUAUGUUUCCUUUAUAAUACAUAAUAAAUAACUGUCGCGAACUAUUUUCCAAUAAAUAAUUUUACGAUUUAGCUACUUGUUUGUAGCGAAAACGUUCCUGAUGUGGUCAAUUUUGAGAGAAAAAACGGAUCGGGAAUUUAAGCAAUUGAAUAGGUCAUGGGCCAAGAUCUUUUAGGGUAGUCAAUGCGAACUGUCACACGACGUGACAUGCACAACCCGACGUUGAAAUACCACGUUUAAGAGUAAGAGUUGAGUAUUCCCGUAUGUACAAAUUAAAGGAAAUAGGUCAGGCAAGCCCAAAAAAAAAAAAAAAAAAACAACGCUCACACGCACAAUAGUAGGCUAAUACGCUGAACACCACUCCAGUCUAUUUAAGAUAUUUUAGAUUAUUUGACAAUACUGAUUAAACAAUUACUACUAAAUAAAAAUUGUAAUAUGGUAAACACACUAACACGCGUUAAAUGCAAACAGAUUUUCUUAUUUAUUUGGGAUGUUACAAUAUCCGACCGGUGAUACAUGGCAUCGUAAUAUCCAUUUUGUCCGAUAUUUAAUCAUUUUCGAUCAGCAUACAGACGACCAUUCAAGUCCGACAUGUUGGAACAGACUAUGUAAAUUUCCAUACCACCACCCAUGCCCACAACAAUAUUAUUACCAAAGUAUUAUGCUAUUAUAUAUGUGAAUUAAGCUUCUACUAAUAGGGCCUAGUUAGGAGAAAUACCCACGAAGUUAACAGACAUUGUUUGGGGGAAGGGAACAACUGGUACAAUUCCAACAGUAGAAAUUUCGCCCGGAAUAGGUAACUAGCCUAGAUUGCCCACAGAACGAAUCGCAUGUCGCUGCUCUCGAUUUCAUUUGCCAAACUCGCUGAUUUAAAGCGCACGGGGAGUGAUCUAGAUACAACAGCAGAAGUAUGUGUGUCUAACCUCUGUCCACGCCAUCGCACCACUCAGAAGCGCCAUGUUUCAAGAAAAUGUCGUUUAAUGUUUUACGCUGUUCAAAUGACAUCAUUGUCCCACCGCAAUUGCCUUAUUUAUGCAGUUUCAGCAUGCAAAUGGACCCGUAAUACAGCCAGAUUUUAUGGCAAAGGGUUGCUUGAAAUUUGAAGUCCAGGUAGUGACUGUAGUGCGUUUUCACUUCAGUUUUGCCACUAAUACAAGGCCUACGCCUCGAUUUUCAAACGUGGUAAAUGUAUCUACUCUUUUAUCUUGAUCUACACGCACAUGCUAAAUCCUGAUUUAGGCCAAUCGAGAUGACAAUUGAUUUAUAGGUUCCUUAACAAUCAAAUUAGUAGCCUGUUAUUCAGAUAGUAAACUAAGAUGUCAUUCAGAGAAAAAAACAGGAUCCAGUGUACUUAAAAAAAUAAUGAUUAAAAAUUUUAAUGUACUAAACAUGGAAAGAAAUGGAUAAAACGGCUUAAAACGUCAAACGCCCCCACCGUUUUAAAUGUUUUUGAUUAAUUAAUUUUUUACUGGGGACUGUCGUUGAAACUGGGGGUAAAACGCAAUAAAUUAACAUUUGUAAAUACCAGUUCUGUAGCUACUGGGUUUUGUUCUCUUCAUUUCUUGCUGCGGUUUCCGUACCAGAAGAGCUUCAAUAUUUCACUUCUUCGGUUACAACCAACCUGUUUGCAAUCACAAUUUGACAGGAGAACGGCCUUACUUUCUUCCCUUGUUUUGUUUUAACAGUGAGCGAAAAAUAACUUGUAUUGCAAUUGUAAAAACUCAACCAAUUCGCUUUAGUAACUUUAAUGUCUACACUUAAGUGUGCCGCUGCUUUUCAUUUCACACCUUUCCACUACAUGUUUUGAGUCGUUUCUGCGUAACAGUAGUGUUCUGCACAAUUGUGUCUCCAUUUUCCUCUUGUGAAAAUCUGACUGAAAAUGUGCACUCAGAAGUGGGCUGUCAUCGCUAGCCAGUUUUCACCUUUUUUAUACCAUUCUGUCAAGCGAGGUUUUAUUAAUAACAGUGAUUCAACUGGCAGGCCAGUUGUUUAGCUUCAUCUCCCUGACUAGCUUAUAACUUGGCUGACGUGCGGCCGACUGUGCCUUUGCUAGUUUUCAACACUGUCGGAUAAGGAUGUCCUCAGUAACUACGGGAUUCGGCACUCACUCAGUGCCCUGUCAGGAGAACCCACAAGAGAACCGAUCGUGUGGAAUCGUUUAACGACUUUCGGUCGAAAAUCAGGUACUGUUAUACUCUCCUUCCUGUGAUUGGAGAAGAGAGACGGUAAAAACAGAGAGAAGCGCGAGGAGGAGUUUGACAAACACAAAGACACCAGGAGACAUCCUGGGAGACUGUGAAACAGAGGGAAAGAAAUAGAGUUGACCUGCACUCUGUGUUCAUAAAGAAGCUUUUGUGCAGGCCAUUGAUUUUAUUUAUUUUUUUCCAGGUGGCCAGCUAAAGAAUUUCCAUGGGUUCCAAUUUCACUUGGUUAUCAUUUCCCCCCGCCCCCCACCAGGGAAAAUGAAAACUCAUUAAUUGGGAAAUUCAUAGUCUCCUUGGCGACCUUUGACCUUUGACCCAGGAAGCUGGAGCUGUGGCGUACUGUCAUAUCGGGACUCCUUUGAGAUGUCUUACAGGACACCCCAAGUGUAACAUAAGAGUACAUGCAUUCACUGUAAUGUAUCCCAUGAUCAAAGGACACACAGUAGCUAAAGGCAGCAGAGGGAAAUGGAGGUAGAACAGCACAUUCGCAUUUUCUCUUGCGGUACGCAGCCAGUUCAGCCUUGGGUGGGGGGGGGGGGGGUUUGUAGACCACUGUCAUGACUAACAGGUAGCUCCAGGGGGUCUGGAGGAAAAAGCAAAAUUGUUUUUAAAUAUCGCGGUACAUGCGAAUCGGAAGCAAGCGUUGGGUGUUCAAAUAAACAGAUCCUUUCUCGUUCCUCUCUGUCCUCUGCUGGAUAAGGACUAAUCUGAUCAUACUGUAAUCCUCGUCAUUUGCAUCAUGUGCCUACAUCAGCAGUAGGAUAGCUAACACAUUAUAAUUAGGAGAUGGUUCUGACACCAUUUUAAAUGAAUCAUUCAUUGAGAGCUGUUUUUCUUAGCCAGGUAGUGGUACGAGCAUCAUGGGUGAGUGUGUGCUGUAGCAGAUAAGGGAUUGGGCAUAUAACUCUGAGGCUGCCAGCUCAAAUCCCAAGCAGGGCACUGCAGUUGUACCCUUGAGCAAAUAACUUAACCUGGAAUGCUUCAGAAUACACAGGUGAUAAAAAUGUAAGCCAGAAAAAAAUCUGAUUUAAAAAAAAAAAAAAAAAAGCUAACCAGAAAUGUAAGCCAAUAGCACUGGACAAGGACAGUGCAUAAUGUCAUUUUGUAGUCAGCUAGCAGGAAGAACAGCAGACAUGUAGGCAUAUCGCUGUGUGAUCACAACUUCACUGUGAAAUCUUAAACUUGGUCCACUUGAGGAGGAAAGGAUUUGGUGUUGUCUAGCUAGGUUUACCUUAAAAACCCAUAUAGACAGUUAUACACGUGACCAUGUUGCUAAUAGUUACAAAAAUGAUAUGAAGCCUUCCUUCGUAAAUCAAUCAAUCAUGAUUUAGUGAUCAGACAGAGAAUAGAAGGGCAUAAGGAAAGGGUCAGAUUUUCAUUGCUUUCUUUGCAAUAAGCUUGUUGUUUUCUGGCGUCUAAUUUACAUUAGUUUCCAUUUAGGAAAAAGAAAAGCUUUAAUUUUUUUUGAGAAAACUUAUUCCAGGAUUUAUUUUGUUCUUGACUGAAUGAUUUCACAGGGCUGUUAUUUGUACUAAAAGAAAAAAAAAACAAAAAAAAAACAUCUGGACCCCCAAGGGUUCAUCAAAUUAAUGACCAAAUUUGCUUCCUUUCCAAAGUGAAAAAUACAUUUGGUUAACGAGCUGAAAUCACAGAGACGUCACGUACAGCCCUCUGCACCGCACAGUGGGUUCAUCUGGAACAUUCGAAUGCUAAACGUUCACCUCUGAGCCUAAUUUCAGCACUGCAGAUUUGUAGAACAAACCUACAUUUAUGUUUGCAUUUUAGCCAGCCAUAUAAACGCCCCGUGCUGAGAGGCUAAUGAUUACAUUAGAAGUCGGAAAUGAAGAAUUUUAUAGUUGUUCCUUUUUUUUCCCUUUCGACGAGCACAAGCCCCGCCUCUGUGGAGCGUGUAGUGAGCGUGUCCCUUUAAGCCGCCGCCGCGUUCGGUUCCUCAGAAGGACCGAGCCGCCCGAGUCGCCGGGGCGAUGGCAAGCGGGUCUUUCGCCGCGUGGCGUGCCGACUGCUCUUCUCGCUGGCGAGACCGGGCCACGUGUUGCACCGAAACGGUUACACUGCGCGGUCUGACGGGCGCAGUGAGGUGCUGCCUGCCACUGCCAGAGUGCAUUACUGCGAGUACUACUUCUGUCCCUGUUAGCAAAUCUAUGGACUGUUGAAACUAGGUAAGAUCCAGACAACACACACACACACACACACACACACACACA